AUCGAUCCACCUUGGAAUUUCUUCAAGCCGCCUGGUAGAAACUCGACAGCUUUGUCACACAGUUCCAAGCUCAAACAAAUCUUAUUUCUGAGAAAAUUGUCGGAGGCACAUAUGGAAUGAAGUCAACAGGAAAAAAGGCAGUACUUCUCCGGCUGCGGACUCUUUUUGUCAAAAACCUUAUUUUCAAGUUACAGCCUUUUUUGUACAAAAAAGUACUUAAAGGGAAAAUAACUUUUUAGCUGCAUCCAUUUUUUAUUUAGCUAUGCAGAAAAGCAACUACUAUUAAUCCUAAUGUUCUAAGCAGUAUGUUCUUUUGAGAAUUGAGACUGAAGUUGAUACUAUUAUCCACAUAACUUUUAAGCAGUAUAUUCAUUUGAGAACUGAGACAUCUAAUAAUGGCUCGAAACAAAAAAUCAGAAACUCAAGACUUAGUUAUGGUAGCUAUAAAGUUUAGUAAGGUUAUAUUGAUCUGUUGGGCUUUGUUGAAUGGAAAAUAUGCUUUGAGUCUUAGCUAUAAGCUAUGUUCUUAAAAACUUUUCUAGAACUGAUGAUGCUGGUUAAGCUAAAUCUUGGCUGUGUUAUCAAGUUGACAGAAGUUUCGGUGAAGCUCAAGCAACUGUUCUUAUGAAUCUGUUGUAUCACUUCAGAGGUUUUAUUCCGUAUGGAUCAAAAGAAUAUA